GUGGCGCACGGGUGAGUAACACGUGAAUGACAUGCCCUUCAGAGGGGGAUAGCCCAGGGAAACUUGGAUUAAUACCCCAUGGUCUCGCAAGAGUAAAGGUGGCGCAAGCUGCCGCUGAGGGAUUGGUUCGCGCCCUAUCAGCUAGUUGGUGAGGUAACGGCUCACCAAGGCGAUGACGGGUACUUGGUCUGAGAGGACGAUCAGGCACACUGGAACUGAGACACGGUCCAGACACCUACGGGUGGCAGCAGUCGAGAAUAAUUCACAAUGGGGGCAACCCUGAUGGUGCAACGCCGCGUGGAGGAUGAAGGUCUUCGGAUUGUAAACUCCUGUCAUCCGGGAGAAAGACCUGGCUGUGAAUAGCAGACAGGGUUGAUAGUACCGGAAGAGGAAGGGACGGCUAACUUCGUGCCAGCAGCCGCGGUAAUACGAAGGUCCCGAGCGUUGUUCGGAAUCACUGGGCGUAAAGGGAGCGUAGGCGGUUUGGUAAGUCAGAUGUGAAAUCCCGGGGCUCAACCCCGGAACUGCAUCCGAUACUGCCAGACUCGAGCAAUGGAGAGGUAGCUGGAAUUAUCGGUGUAGCAGUGAAAUGCGUAGAUAUCGAUAGGAACACUCGUGGCGAAAGCGAGCUACUGGACAUUUGCUGACGCUGAGGCUCGAAGGCUAGGGGAGCGAAAGGGAUUAGAUACCCCUGUAGUCC
rnacentral:rRNA from 1 species